UUUUUUAUAUAAACUUUCAGCAGAGUUUCAGGCUUUUUUCAAAAACCAGGGGGGUGAAAUUGUCGUCUGAAGCUGAGGAUCGCGGUUGGCCAGUGGUAAUUACCACGAGGAUUUGGGACCAGUGGCGUCAUUCUGGCGUCAGCAAACGUGAAAAUCCUUGGAAAUCCGCCAUGUUUUUGGCUUCACUUGCUUGACUGAAGAGAG